rnacentral:tRNA from 1 species
AUUUAGAUAGAUUAAAUAAAUCAUACCUUUGAAGCAGGUAAAUUAGGGCAACCUUCUAAAUA